GUGGACUUCAUUUUAAGAACCUCCCCCAGUGUGAAUGUUCAUCUGAAUCAAAGGCUAAAUGUCUAAUUCAGGCUGAAACCAAUGCACUUGACAAGAGGGAGGAGGCAAAAGUGAGAAGUCCAGCUUUGCCUCCUAGUAGGAGUUCCUCCAUUCCUGAGAGAGAGAAAAGCCUCAACUGAUGAUGCCUGGGCAGCUCCUGGGGAAAAGCAGGAAGGAAAUGAUGCUCAGACAAGACCCUCAGGUGGUGAAAAGAAUUUCCUUGUGUCCCAGACUGGACUGUGGACAAAUUGCUACAAAAGGAGGAGUCACUGCAUUGCCAGGCUAAAAGAAAGACUGAAGGGACAAGUCCAAACCACAGGAACCCAUUUGUCAGAAGAAAGCUGAUCAUAA